UACGUAGGGGGCAAGCGUUGUCCGGAUUUAUUGGGCGUAAAGAGCGUGUAGGCGGCCAUACAGGUCCGUUGUGAAAACUGGAGGCUUAACCUCCAGACGUCGAUGGAAACCGUAUGGCUAGAGUCCGGAAGAGGAGAGUGGAAUUCCUGGUGUAGCGGUGAAAUGCGCAGAUAUCAGGAAGAACACCCGUGGCGAAGGCGGCUCUCUGGGCCAUAACUGACGCUGAGGAGCGAAAGCGUGGGGAGCGAACAGG
rnacentral:rRNA from 1 species